rnacentral:rRNA from 1 species
UGGGGAAUAUUGGACAAUGGGCGCAAGCCUGAUCCAGCCAUGCCGCGUGGGUGAAGAAGGCCUUAGGGUUGUAAACCCCUUUCACCGGUGACGAUGAUGACGGUAGCCGGAGAAGAAGCCCCGGCUAACUCCGUGCCAGCAGCCGCGGUAAUACGGAGGGGGCAAGCGUUGUUCGGAUUUACUGGGCGUAAAGGGCGCGUAGGCGGGGUAUCCAGUUAGGGGUGAAAGCCCGGGGCUCAACCUCGGAACUGCCUUUAAAACUGAUACUCUAGAGUCCGGAAGAGGGUCGCGGAAUUCCCAGUGUAGAGGUGAAAUUCGUAGAUAUUGGGAAGAACACCGGUGGCGAAGGCGGCGACCUGGUCCGGUACUGACGCUGAGGCGCGAAAGCGUGGGGAGCAAACAGGAUUAGAUACCCCCGUAGUCC